rnacentral:rRNA from 1 species
UACGUAGGGUGCAAGCGUUGUCCGGAAUUAUUGGGCGUAAAGAGCUCGUAGGCAGCUUGUCACGUCGACUGUGAAAACCCGGGGCUCAACUCCGGGCCUGCAGUCGAUACGGGCUGGCUUGAGUGCGGUAGGGGAGACUGGAAUUCCUGGUGUAGCGGUGAAAUGCGCAGAUAUCAGGAGGAACACCGAUGGCGAAGGCAGGUCUCUGGGCCGAUACUGACGCUGAGGAGCGAAAGCGUGGGGAGCGAACAGG